CCUACGGGAGGCAGCAGUGAGGAAUAUUGGUCAAUGGGCGCGAGCCUGAACCAGCCAAGUAGCGUGAAGGAUGACGGCCCUACGGGUUGUAAACUUCUUUUAUAGGGGAAUAAAAUGUACCACGUGUGGGAUUUUGUAUGUACCAUAUGAAUAAGGAUCGGCUAACUCCGUGCCAGCAGCCGCGGUAAUACGGAGGAUCCGAGCGUUAUCCGGAGUUAUUGGGUUUAAAGGGAGCGUAGGUGGAUUGUUAAGUCAGUUGUGAAAGUUUGCGGCUCAACCGUAAAAUUGCAGUUGAAACUGGCAGUCUUGAGUCCCGUAGCGGUGGGCGUUAUUCGUUGUGUAGCGG
rnacentral:rRNA from 1 species